GAUGAACGCUGGCGGCGUGCCUAAUACAUGCAAGUCGAGCGAACGGACGAGAAGCUUGCUUCUCUGAUGUUAGCGGCGGACGGGUGAGUAACACGUGGAUAACCUACCUAUAAGACUGGGAUAACUUCGGGAAACCGGAGCUAAUACCGGAUAAUAUUUUGAACCGCAUGGUUCAAAAGUGAAAGACGGUCUUGCUGUCACUUAUAGAUGGAUCCGCGCUGCAUUAGCUAGUUGGUAAGGUAACGGCUUACCAAGGCAACGAUGCAUAGCCGACCUGAGAGGGUGAUCGGCCACACGGGAACUGAGACACGGUCCAGACUCCUACGGGAGGCAGCAGUAGGGAAUCUUCCGCAAUGGGCGAAAGCCUGACGGAGCAGCGCCGCGUGAGUGAUGAAGGUCUUCGGAUCGUAAAACUCUGUUAUUAGGGAAGAACAGAUGUGUAAGUAACUGUGCACAGCUUGACGGUACCUAAUCAGAAAGCCACGGCUAACUACGUG
rnacentral:rRNA from 1 species